GACAGAGGGUGCAAACGUUGUUCGGAAUUACUGGGCGUAAAGCGCGUGUAGGCGGCCCUGCAAGUCGGGUGUGAAAUCCCAUGGCUCAACCAUGGAAGUGCACUCGAAACUGCAGGGCUAGAGUCCUGGAGAGGAAGGUGGAAUGCUUGGUGUAGAGGUGAAAUUCGUAGAUAUCAAGCGGAACACCGGUGGCGAAGGCGGCCUUCUGGACAGUGACUGACGCUGAGACGCGAAAAGCGUGGGGGAGCAAACAGGG
rnacentral:rRNA from 1 species